UGUUUUAGUCAAUGUGGCUUUCCGGUCUUUUGGAUUACCUGUCCUCCAGCAGUCGGAUCCUGACGGAUCGAUUCUGAUGAAAGGAAAUUAGCGGAAACCGAAGACGAGGUGUAAAAAGCCAUCCGUGAGCGGAUGAAGAAGCGCCAAAGUCACCGAAUGUCGUUCCACGAGCGACAAACAAGUUCCGAUGUUAGUUCGGACGAAAGCGACGGCGACAAUAAGAAAGGGGAGAAAGUCCCGAUUGCAAGUAACGGGGACACAAACGAGGAGGAAAUAAAAGAUGAAAGUCGGGCCAUGUCUCCGGCCAAUCGUUUAAGCCUAUCCGGAAUUGCCCCGAAAGAUCUCAACGAAGAUGAUGAUUAUGAAGAUGUGGUUCUGGUGGGAAAUUAUUUGAAAAAGUGGACGAUACUUUCAAAGAUCCACAGAGGCACAAUGUCUGAUGGCCCAACA